UGCGGGCGGGCGCGACCCGCUCCGGGGA
rnacentral:piRNA from 1 species